GAUGAACGCUGGCGGCGUGCCUAAUACAUGCAAGUCGAGCGAGCAGACGAGGAGCUUGCUCCUUCGACGUUAGCGGCGGACGGGUGAGUAACACGUAGGUAACCUACCUAUAAGACUGGGAUAACUUCGGGAAACCGGAGCUAAUACCGGAUAAUAUUUCGAACCGCAUGGUUCGAUAGUGAAAGAUGGCUUUGCUAUCACUUAUAGAUGGACCUGCGCCGUAUUAGCUAGUUGGUAAGGUAACGGCUUACCAAGGCAACGAUACGUAGCCGACCUGAGAGGGUGAUCGGCCACACUGGAACUGAGACACGGUCCAGACUCCUACGGGAGGCAGCAGUAGGGAAUCUUCCGCAAUGGGCGAAAGCCUGACGGAGCAACGCCGCGUGAGUGAUGAAGGUCUUCGGAUCGUAAAACUCUGUUAUUAGGGAAGAACAAACGUGUAAGUAACUGUGCACGUCUUGACGGUACCUAAUCAGAAAGCCACGGCUAACUACGUG
rnacentral:rRNA from 1 species